rnacentral:lncRNA from 1 species
AUUGCUCCUGUGUUUCAUAGAUGGGAAAUCAUACUGAUGACUCAACCAUAUAUAGCAUUAUUUUGCUGGUUCAUGCUACCUCAGCGGAAACAGCUGCCAAAGGUCAUCUGACAUAAUAGCUGAUGAAUUCAAGCCCAGUGGAUUUCAUUUGCAAUUUUCAAUUUACUGAGGCCUCCAAACCCCACGGUGAUAAAAGCUUCCCCUAUCGUGGCCUGUCACAAACAUCAAGAAACUGCACAAACCCACAAGAAAGAAAAAAGAGAAAGCUGUGCAUCAUCACAGCUAUAGAUAAGGAGAACAGGAAGAAAUGGUAUCAUGCAGGAAGGUGGGGAGCAGCCUGUGUGGCUAGUUCUCUAAAUGCCAAUUGAAACGAAAAGACUAUGAGGAACAAUCAAAUAACUUCCACAGAAUAACAACAUGUUUCUUUGGAGCUUUUAUGUGAAAAUUGCCUUCUAAUCUCUGACUUGACAUGCUCCCACACAAAAAUAUAAAUGGUAGAUCUUUGAUUGAUUUGCCAGGGAAGUCAAAGGACUGACAUAGCAACUACUUGUAAGUGGAUCUAGAUGUAGUACAUAUCAAAGAUGCAUUAGCAAGAAGAAGAAAGCCAUUUUUCCCCCUGUCAAACUAUUUACAAUGAACUUAGGCAGGAUCGGGAACUGAAUCCUGUUCCCAGGCAGUUGUUCAAAUUGAGCAAACCAUAUGUGUGUUUCUUGGAGAAUAGCAAGUUUGAUAACUCAGCAGGUCACCUUUGUCCUAUCCUACUUGACUCAU